AGCAGUCGCCGCGGUAAUACGUAGGUGGCAAGCGUUGUCCGGAAUUAUUGGGCGUAAAGGGCUCGCAGGCGGUUUCUUAAGUCUGAUGUGAAAGCCCCCGGCUCAACCGGGGAGGGUCAUUGGAAACUGGGAGACUUGAGUGCAGAAGAGGAGAGUGGAAUUCCACGUGUAGCGGUGAAAUGCGUAGAGAUGUGGAGGAACACCAGUGGCGAAGGCGACUCUCUGGUCUGUAACUGACGCUGAGGAGCGAAAGCGUGGGGAGCGAACAGGAUUAGAUACCCGAGUAGUCCCUGUCUCUUAUAC
rnacentral:rRNA from 1 species